GGUUGCAGCCCCCGAGAGGGGCAUGGCUCCCCCCAUGCCCCUCCCCGGUGCUGUUCAAUGCCCUUCGCCUCUCGGGGAAUUUGUGAUGUUAUCUCACUGAGAAACUGCUUGAGAGAAGUAGGUAUUCCACCUUCCGAUGAGAUAAUGCUGUGAUUAACAGAUGCUUAAUUGGGCCAUUUAUCACCAACAGGACCUGCCUCCAAGUCGUGGGCCAAGUAAAUUAUUGCCCACCCUGCAGGUGUUGGACUGGCAGAUCUAUUACUCUUCACGGAACGGUCUUCAGAAGAUUUUAUAUGAAAAGAUGAUUUAUUUCCCAAAGGAAUUCAAUUGUGCUCUUAUUUAUCCAGAAUGUAGCAGGGGUCCGCCCGGCCCCUCUUCUCCGUGCACAAAGGGGAAUUGUUGAAAACCAGAAUCGCAGACAGGGUCAGAGCCAGAAGGACACAGAAACCAGCGAGCGGAUGCGGCCACUUUACAGAUGGCAGCGCCGAGGCUGGAGCACACCGUGCCAAAUCAUGCAGACACUUUCCCAGUCGGCAAAGAUCAUAGAGUCACGUCUGCCUGGCGUCCAGCGGAAGCACAGGCAGGGCAGGUCCCCCUUGUGGAUGAAAGCACUCAGGAUGGACUCCCUGUCUGUCAGGCGAGGCUGUGCGGAAAAAUGCGCCGACUCUGAAGCACGUUUCCAAACUCAGGCUCUGUCUUCCAUUCUCAUCUAAUCAUUGGCUGUAAUUUUCUGUCCAAGAAAUAAGCAAAGAAGAUGUGCGGGGAAAGUGGGUUCUGGACUGAAGGGAGGCAGUGGUCAACAGCGCCUCUCACCCAGCCAGGUAUCCCACCAGCAUGGCGUGGAUGUGCAGAAAGUGCUAAGAGACGUUAUAAUGGAGUCUGGUGCCACUUCUCGAUGGCCUGUGGGGCACUCAGGCUAACAGGCCUGAACGGGGUUGAUAUAUGAGAAGAAACGGUGCUGAACUAGCCAGCGGGGGACGGAAACCCUUUGCGCCUCUGGCCGGGCGAGCGCGGAUUCAAGGACUGCUUGGUGCAGGUGAAAGCACAUGGUUCCUCAUUCCUGCUGUAAUAAAAACGACAAAGUUUCACUGGCUUGAGAGUUUGGAAAAGGAUUAAUCUUACCCAUCUCUUAACCAUAUUUAAGUAACAGGUAUCUUAAGUAAUAAGGUUACUAAAGUG